AUUCAGCUGACAAGUCCGAAAUAGGACGAAACGCGCGUCCUGGAU
rnacentral:hammerhead_ribozyme from 1 species